CCUACGGGAGGCAGCAGUAGGGAAUAUUGCUCAAUGGGGGAAACCCUGAAGCAGCAACGCCGCGUGGAGGAUGAAGGUUUUCGGAUUGUAAACUCCUUUUGUUAGAGAAGAUAAUGACGGUAUCUAACGAAUAAGCACCGGCUAACUCCGUGUCAGCAGCCGCGGUAAUACGGAGGGUGCAAGCGUUACUCGGAAACACUGGGCGUAAAGAGCGCGGAGGCGGGAUAGCAAGUCAGAUGUGAAAUCCUAUGGCUUAACCAUAGAACUGCAUUUGAAACUGUUAUUCUAGAGUAUGGGAGAGGUAGGUGGAAUUCUUGGUGUAGGGGUAAAAUCCGUAGAGAUCAAGAGGAAUACUCAUUGCGAAGGCGACCUGCUAGAACAUAACUGACGCUGAUGCGCGAAAGCGUGGGGAGCGAACAGGAUUAGAUACCCCUGUAGUC
rnacentral:rRNA from 1 species